rnacentral:lncRNA from 1 species
GUUCGUCUGUGUUUGCUCAUUGUCCUGAGCAGGAGCCUCAAAUCGGAGGAGCAGGGAUGAUGGGAGUUGGCCUGACAUCUGAACAGUUGAAACAGCUGCAGCGAUUCGAUCCGUUGGUGGUGCCAUCACGGGACACCGACUUUGAUUGUCUCAGAGACAGCAGAACAGAAGACAUGAUCUGGCUGGCCAAUGAGGACUGUAUUAAAAGUGAGAAUACUACACAAUUUGGGUACCUUUUAUCACCUGAUGGGUCACAUACAGGUUAUUAAGAGAUGUGAGUGGUGAGAAAGAGAAAAAAGCAUCCUCUGAGAGCUGGGAAGUGGCUGGGCACUUAGAGCUAAGCCUUGGCGUCCUACCACCGAACAGAAGCAGGUCCAGAGAACACCGACCUCAGACCAUGCAGCUGUGACUGGGCCAGAUCAAGACAAAAAAGACCUCUUCACAGUUAAAAAUCUGAAAUCAUCCAAACCACAAACGUGACCAAACACCAUAUCUCUCCCUGUAGUGGCCAGUUUAAGUGGACUGCCUUUUUAAAAUUAAUUGUAACGGUGGGCUUGCUUCAUCCUACCUGCUUUUUUAGGUAAGAUAUAUUAAAAUACUCAAUACCCAGCCAUAGUUUAAAAGCUGUCUCAUUUAAUGUUAAUAAUAUCCAUUCUGUAAAUUCAUAUCUACCCCAAAUUGAGCCAUGGGCAUAUAAAGUGGAUAAUUGGAAAUAAUUGGCUAAUAGUUUUUUUUUUCUCAUAGGUUUCCAUUAGGAAUUUCUCGAAUCUGUUGUAUCCAUCAGGAAUGCCAGGUCUCGUGGAUCAGGUGAGCUUCAGAAGGCCUCCCCUUUGAGGAAGCCUUUUUCACACAGCCUUCUCUGAGGCUGGGUUAGGCAUUUCUACACCCCUCGUACCUCUGUCUCCUGCUGUCUUGGCACUUGACACAUCCCUCCAGGUUACCCUAUAGGCAUGCCCUUGACCCCUGCCCCCAGGCUUGAAGGCAGGAACCCUGUGCUUUCUGUCAGAGCUUCAGACAGAUCUUCCUUACAUCCUUAUUUUUUCUUUCUCCUGCCAUAUCUGCAGUAUAGGGAUCAAAUCGAAGCUGCCAGCACAGCAUCACAGCCAUAGCAACACUGGAUCUGAGCUGCAUCUGUGACCUACACCAGAGUUUGUAGCAAUGAUGGAUCCUUUACCUACUGAGGGAAGCCAGGGAUCAAACCUGCAUCUUCACAGACAGUAUGUUUGGUUCUUAACCCACUGAACCACAAUAGAACCUCUCAUUAUAUCCUUCUUGAAUGAGGGAAAACACAUUUCAAGUGCCAAAAGAUUCAAAUAGGUUACUUCCCACCCUUCAUUCUGUCUUUUGUCCAAUAGAUGUCAUUUGUCUAAAGAGAAACACCAUUUACUUGUGGUACUUCUGUUUAUAGGGCUCAGCAUACUUCCCUAGACUUUCACUUCAUUUUAAAAAAUAGACAAAAUCCAUUUCUUCUCACGCUGCCUGUAAAGUCUUAGGUGCUAAGCUGGAACAGAAAUCGUAGAAGGAGCCUAGUAGCAAUCGUGUGAAGUUUUAACUGAUACCACAGAUACCAAAUAGAAGCAAUGCAGGCAAAACAGAAGAAAAAUAUUUGCAUAUUAAAAACAGUAAAGACAAAAAAUAUUGAUGAAAUGUUUUCCUAUAAAGUAGACAUUUUUCGGUGAGUUUCUUUCAAAAAUAGAACAAAUUGGGAAAUAAAAUACAUGCAAUUUUUUUUAAGGGCUGCA